rnacentral:misc_RNA from 1 species
GUGAAUCAUCGAAUUUUUGAACGCAAAUUGCACUCUCUUCGGUGAGUAGGACUGUUUGUGGGUGAGUUUAAAUAAAAAUCGGUGUGUUGGUUGCCUUUCGUGGUGAGGCACCGGCGGUGGGUCGUCUUGCUUUCGGUUAUGUGACCAAAAAUUUUGCAUGAUUUUUUCGAACGUAUUUAUAUGCUUUUAUGUAUGUUUGCGAUUUCGACUACUAUGUGUGCCAAUACUCA